GACGAACGCUGGCGGCGUGCUUAACACAUGCAAGUCGAACAGAAAGGCCCUGCUUUUGUGGGGUGCUCGAGUGGCGAACGGGUGAGUAACACGUGAGUAACCUGCCCUUGACUUUGGGAUAACUUCAGGAAACUGGGGCUAAUACCGGAUAGGAGCUCCUGCUGCAUGGUGGGGGUUGGAAAGUUUCGGCGGUUGGGGAUGGACUCGCGGCUUAUCAGCUUGUUGGUGGGGUAGUGGCUUACCAAGGCUUUGACGGGUAGCCGGCCUGAGAGGGUGACCGGCCACAUUGGGACUGAGAUACGGCCCAGACUCCUACGGGAGGCAGCAGUGGGGAAUAUUGCACAAUGGGCGGAAGCCUGAUGCAGCAACGCCGCGUGCGGGAUGACGGCCUUCGGGUGGUAAACCGCUUUCGCCUGUGACGAAGCGUGAGUGACGGUAAUGGGUAAAGAAGCACCGGCUAACUACGU
rnacentral:rRNA from 1 species